AUUGAACGCUGGCGGCAUGCCUUACACAUGCAAGUCGAACGGCAGCACGGGUGCUUGCACCUGGUGGCGAGUGGCGAACGGGUGAGUAAUACAUCGGAACAUGUCCUGUAGUGGGGGAUAGCCCGGCGAAAGCCGGAUUAAUACCGCAUACGAUCUACGGAUGAAAGCGGGGGACCUUCGGGCCUCGCGCUAUAGGGUUGGCCGAUGGCUGAUUAGCUAGGUGGUGGGGUAAAGGCCUACCAAGGCGACGAUCAGUAGCUGGUCUGAGAGGAGGACCAGCCACACUGGGACUGAGACACGGCCCAGACUCCUACGGGAGGCAGCAGUGGGGAAUUUUGGACAAUGGGCGAAAGCCUGAUCCAGCAAUGCCGCGUGUGUGAAGAAGGCCUUCGGGUUGUAAAGCACUUUUGUCCGGAAAGAAAUCCUUGGCUCUAAUACAGUCGGGGGAUGACGGUACCGGAAGAAUAAGCACCGGCUAACUACGUG
rnacentral:rRNA from 1 species